rnacentral:rRNA from 1 species
GAUGAACGCUGGCGGCGUGCUUAACACAUGCAAGUCGAGCGGAAGCAAGGACACGGAAUUUUUCGGAAGGAAGUGUGUUUGCUUUAGCGGCGGACGGGUGAGUAACGCGUGGAUAACCUGCCUCAUACAGGGGGAUAACAGUUAGAAAUGACUGCUAAUACCGCAUAAGCACCCGGGAGCGCAUGCUCCUGGGUGAAAAGCUCCGGCGGUAUGAGAUGGAUCCGCGUCUGAUUAGCUGGUUGGCGGGGUAACGGCCCACCAAGGCGACGAUCAGUAGCCGACCUGAGAGGGUGGCCGGCCACAUUGGGACUGAGACACGGCCCAA